rnacentral:tRNA from 1 species
CUGCCCAUAGCUCAGUUGGAUAGAGCAUCUGCCUUCUAAGCAGACGGUCGGGGGUUCGACUCCCUCUGGGCAGGCCA